UCGGUGACAGGUGGUGCAUGGUUGUCGUCAGCUCGUGUCGUGAGAUGUUGGUUAAGUCCCGCAACGAGCGCAACCCCUAUUGUUAGUUGCCAUCAUUCAGUUGGGCACUCUAGCGAGACUGCCGGUAAUAAACCGGAGGAAGGUGGGGAUGACGUCAAAUCAUCAUGCCCCUUAUGACCUGGGCUACACACGUGCUACAAUGGUUGGUACAACGAGUUGCGAGUCGGUGACGGCGAGCUAAUCUCUUAAAGCCAAUCUCAGUUCGGAUUGUAGGCUGCAACUCGCCUACAUGAAGUCGGAAUCGCUAGUAAUCGCGGAUCAGCACGCCGCGGUGAAUACGUUCCCGGGCCUU
rnacentral:rRNA from 1 species